GCCUAUGAUUAUAUUAUAUCCGAACUGCAUGAGGUGUUUUGGAUCCAAGCCCCUGUUUACAGGGAGAACCUACUUGGUGAAGGGACAUUCAUAUGACAAUGGAUUUCUAUGAGGC